CUGCUGUGGCAUCUAAAUUACUUGUGUAUCAAGACUGCGUUUUUUUUUACAAGACAGACACUGACUUUUUAAGGUAUUUUAAGAACCCCACGUGGUGAAAACGAAACCUAUGGAAUCCUUGCGUGGCAUAGGCGCAAGGAUUAUCUUCAACUUGACCUCAGCCAGGAACUGGAAGUCCAGACAUUCUCAAUACACUGUCUAUCACAGCCACAGGUGAAAACUCUAAAAGGGAAAUCACAGACUAUGCUGCAUACAAAGCAUCUGGCUGGCAAAGGAUGGCAAAGGAUCAGCUACUGUAGAUUACACACUGCAGACGAGGAGUAAAACUGCAAUAGUUUGUGAAACAGUCAAUGUCAUGUUUAUCCAAAGGUUU
rnacentral:lncRNA from 1 species